rnacentral:rRNA from 1 species
AAAGGGCGCGUAGGCGGACUUUUAAGUCGGGGGUGAAAGCCCAGGGCUCAACCCUGGAAUUGCCUUCGAUACUGAGAGUCUUGAGUUCGGAAGAGGUUGGUGGAACUGCGAGUGUAGAGGUGAAAUUCGUAGAUAUUCGCAAGAACACCAGUGGCGAAGGCGGCCAACUGGUCCGAUACUGACGCUGAGGCGCGAAAGCGUGGGGAGCAAACAGGAUUAGAUACCCCAGU